AGCGAACGCUGGCGGCAGGCUUAACACAUGCAAGUCGAACGAACCUUCCGGGGUUAGUGGCGGACGGGUGAGUAACACGUGGGAACGUGCCUUUAGGUUCGGAAUAACUCAGGGAGACUUGUGCUAAUACCGAAUGUGCCCUUCGGGGGAAAGAUUUAUCGCCUUUAGAGCGGGCCGCGUCUGUUUAGCUAGUUGGGUGAGGUAAUGGCGCGCCAAGGCGACGAGCAGUAGCUGGUCGGAGAGGAGGAUCCGCCACAUUGGGACUGAGACACGGCCCCAACUCCGACGGGACGCAGCAGUUGGGUAUACUGCGCAAUGAGCGAUAACCUGGCACAGCCACGCCGCGGAAAUCGUGCAGGUCUUAGGAUUGUAAUAUUCUUUCACCGGAGACGAUAGUGACGGUACCCGGAGAAGAAGCCCCGGCUAACUACGUG
rnacentral:rRNA from 1 species